AAAGAGACAAAAGGCUUGAAUCUUUUGGUCUGACAAUGGAUUGAUUGGUGGGUUUGACAAACGGCACGAGUGUUUCUAUGGAAAAUUUCUCAAAAACAAAAUUCGAGAACCAAAAACAAACCAAGAAUCAAAAGCUCAGAUGCCAAGACAUUAGAAGCAACUGUUGUUGUAAAGCAAGGAAAAUACAUUGCCAAUUUGGAAACUUGCAAUCUAUGCAAAUGCAAGCAAUAAGAAUUUGACUUUUGAUUCAAAAUUAGUCGCAUGAAUGGGUGUAAGCAAUUUUUUGGGUUGGGUUCUUCUAUGAGAUGCAUUACUUUCAGCGAAUCACUCUUCACUUUCUUUUUAAGCACAACACACACAAAAGACCAUCGAGGGCCACCUAGCACCUACUCCGGACAUUCUUGAACAUCCAAAACGAUUUACCCAUCUCUUAAAGCCCCCCUGAACAAGUUUUUCGUUACAUUUCAAUCAUUUCCAAGAAUACUAUGUAUGUAUACUUUUAGCAAAACAAUAAAAAAAUCUGAUAUAUUAAUUAGUAGUUAAGAAUUUAAAGAAGAAGAAAAAAAUUAACGAACAUACAGAAAAAAUAAAAUUAACCAAAUAGAAAACAACCACAAGUAAAUUACCAAUAUAGCUCAACUACAAAGGUAAGAAAAAAAAAACACAUUGUCCAUAACAUAGUUUCCCUUCCCCAAUACUACAUAUCCAUAAGUCGAGUACUACUGGCCAAAAAAAAGAACAAUAGUUUAUCUACAAUAAUCAACUACACAAUUCUUUUUCAAAAAAAAAAAAUACACAAUUGAUUUACAAUAUAAACAUUAGUGUCUUAUUAUGGAUAUAUACCAAGCAGCAAUUAAACCAAAAUAACAGAAUUGUCAAAAUAAAUAAUAUAUUCAAAUAUAUAAUUGUAGUUUUAAGUAUUUUAAUUACAUAUUUCAUUUUAAUUGUAAUUAGCUCUUCUUUAUAUAUAUAGAUUAUGUAUUCGUGAACAUAUGUUCAAUAGUAAGAUAAACGUAAUCUAUAAAAAGAAUAACAAAACAUGCCCAGUAAAUACUAAAAUCAUUUUUAAAUUUAAAAUAAGCUAAACAUCUUAAAAUAUUUUUUAAAUUGAUGAUAUAUAUGUAAUAAUUUGAUUAAUAACCCGCCCGUAGGGCGGGCCAAAUCCUAGUAGAUAGAUAGAUAGUGUUUGCCUCUCUCACGUUCGUCCACGUAGGAAAGUCGAGCGCUCUUUUGCCGCCACGUGUCACUUACUUAAACGCUUCGUACCAUUCUUUUCUCCUCCGCAAUCCGUUGGACCUACCUUCUUAUUCUGCCUGAACAUUUUGCAUUAUUAAGCCCAUAGGAUAUUUUAUUAGAGCGUGAUAUGAUAUGAUGUAUCGCGAAACCGUGCGUUUCGUAUUCUGUCUUUCAUCCUGUCUCCCAUCUCCGCCUUAGGCGAUUUAGGGUUUCCAUCGAAACUGAGUAUUCUUCCUCCUGAUCUAGCGACCAAUCGGCGCCGUAUCGACUAUACAGUUUCCAGCGAACUGUUCAUCUUCUUCUUACUGAUCAAGUAAUCAAUCGGUUAGGGAAACAUUUCUAUUGAAUUCCCUCUUUAAAUCCACCUUCCACGAUCUCUCUUCAAUUCCACUUUAGCUCUUCAAAGGCGGUGGUGGUUCCACUACAAAAAGGUUAGCGUCUCUAUAAUCUAUAGCAUCCUAUCAAUCUAUUGAAACAAAACAAUCUCCUUAUUUUCUGAAAAAAAUGGCUAAUGCUCGAGUUUUCCUUUCUGAUUUGAAAUCGGGUAGAUGUUCUGAGGUUAGGUUAUUGCGUUUCUGGGAGGCAAGGAACAUCAAGCGAGGUGAUGAACUGAUGUCCGUGGAUAUGCUCCUGCUUGAUUCGAAUGUGACUUCAAGCCAACAAACACUCACGUUUUCUAGGCCAUAUAUAACUGGUGAGCUAACAGCUGUAAAGAGUCAUGUAAGCGAUCGUCCAAAAGAUAAAGACCGUGUUAUGACAACCAUAAAAAUAGAGAGGUAUCUAUUAUUCUUAUAUAAAAAGGUUUCUACACCUUUAUAAUUGAUAACACUACUUUCUUAGACAAACACAUUGAGGAUUUGGUCCCCAUUUUUUUUAUUUGUAGUGACGUGUCUCUCACCUUGAGUGUGUUCCCACUAUCAAGUUGUGUGUUUUCACAAAAACUUGAAAGCUUUAAUACACGAGUUUUUGUUGCAACAAACUAUAAUCUCAAGAUUGUGGGAGGUAUUCUUUCAUACUGUUUUUUUUUGUGAAACCUUAUUAUGUUUUCGUAAAAUGAUGUCCACCAUGAUGCUUUUGCAAAGACUGACACCCCAUCUCCAGGAAGAUUUUUCUAAAUGCCACAUCAGGAACUCGCUAUGACAAGGAGACUGAUGCAGGAGAGAGUUAUUUUUACAAUUUCUUCACAAAUGAUACUGGGAACAUAUCAGCAGCUUCUUUGUUGAGGGUUUUGCAAAGGUUGAGCCUAUGAAAAUAGCGGAGCUUAACCAGUUUAUCAUCACUCCUCAGCCUCAAUCCAUUAAAUUUAUUUGCACUGGAAAGGUAAGGAUGGUGCUACAUCUUGGACCCUGGAGAUCACAUGCUUGGGAUCAGUUUCUCUCUCAGCGAAGAUGUUUGGAGGUGGGAAUGAGAAGGAGAACAACUCUGGCAGCAGAACUUCAACUGGUCUCAUACUGAAAAAAGCUCAGACCACAACAUCUGCCAAGGUGAAGAGUAUGAAUCAUUAUCCCUGUUCCCCCUAUUCUCUGUUGUGUUUUCUUCAGAAGAUAUUAUAAAUUAAGUUCAAGUGUAAUCCAAUGGUUAUUUUACUCCUGAUUCAUUCAACCACUUAGGUUCCUAGAUUCAGAUAUUUACUCAGCAAAACAUGUACUAAAAAAACGUAUGGCCAUAAAAUGAUAAUUUAAACACUGAAACAAAAAUAAGACGUGACGUAAGGAAAUAAAGAUUGGGCUGAACAUAUAUACUGUCUUUUAUCAUCAUGAUGUAUAUUCCUUGACUGUAUAGCUCACGAUCUCAAAUAGUUUCUUUUUUCCAUUCCUAACAUUGUUUUGGAUAUAAUUUCCCUUUUUACCUAUCUCUUUUUUUUUUAUCAAACCUCCUUUUUCCUAAGGCUUAUUUGCUAAAUAGCCAAAAAAAAAAGGGAAAUUAGAUUUUUAGAGAGAAAGUAAAGAGAGAUAGGAAGAGAAAGUAGGAGAGAUGGGGUGUUUUUAGUUAGUUAGUGAAUUUUGUUUUUUUUUUUUGUGGUUAAUGGGUGCAAUUUCCCUUUUUCCUAUCUCUCUAGCUUCUUUCUACAAAUCUUUUUUUUUGUUAUUUGGCAAAUAACAAACAAGACUGGGAGUACCUAGAUUGCUCAUUAUUCAACGCAAAAUUUUGAAAUUUGAUUCCAUAACAAACCUUAUCGUCGUCAAAACUAAAAACUGACCACCAAAACACCCAUCAUCAACCAUUGCAAGAUCUUGGCACCAACCUGGAGGACACAAUAUUUUCAAGUAAUAAGUCCCAUAAAGAAUGACACUAAUUCCAUAAAGUCAAACACGUGAAUAAACCUUAAGAUUUAAACUUCCCACGUCAUAAAAUCAAAUCCACGUACUAAUCUCUGACAAUCAAUGGAUAUGCCAAAUUAUCAAUGCUUUAAAAUACGUUGACUAGAAUAUAUUUCCCAAUCUCCAGAUUUAAUGCAUACAAGGUUAAUGGCAUGUAUGUCAAACCCCCCUACAUAAAACCUAUUCUUCUAAGCCCACACCAUUACGGCCUCUCUUUUCAAAUUCAAGUUAAAAACGAUGUGGGAGCUUAAUGAGAUAUCCCUCAGAGAGUUUCUACGCACCAAAAUAUAUACAGGUCAACAUAAUCACUGAGCUUGCAAAGUUUUCCAGAGCAGAUGUUCGUAACUUAAUGGCAUCGAGCCCAAUUCUUGAUGAGGCAGCACAAAACCCACAGCCCACAGGUAUACAAGCAUCUUAACCUCCAGCCAUUUACAGUCUUUCCAUUGAAACACGUCCACCGUUUCCACGAUCUUAUAUGGAGUAUAAUAUAUAUCAUCUUCAUCAACCUGCUAAAUGAUCCGUAUGACAUCAAAUUCAUCGAAGCAUCAAAAUCUCCACCAAUCAACUCCUUUCGUAAAACAUUUCAAAGAUAUAAAACUCCAUCCUAACCAAACAAAUAACUUUCAAAUGCAAAAUCUAACACAUCCAAAAACAGCCAACAAAAUUCUAAUAUUUUACAUGACAAUGACAAGUUAGGAUGAAGAUCAAACCGGAUCUACCAGAAGACACGAGUAGUUGGAUCACUAAAUUUUUUUUUUUUUUUAUAAAAUCGAAGACACUGAAUGUUAUCUCACUUUAAACUCAAACAGAAAAUCUUUAUAGAAAAUAUCAAAAUGAACUCAGGAUUAUAUUUUUAUUUGCUAUUUAUAGUCAUUUUAAUUUUAGAAAUUUUUAAAAUGCUUUAUAAAAUUAAAAUAUAUUUUCGUAUAGAAUAAUUUUUAUUGUGUACUCAACACCCGUCCGUAGGGCGGACCGACCCUAGUAUCAUAAUAAUCUAAUAUAUAAUAGAAGAGUUUCUUUCCUCCUGAGGCGACACGUCAUCACCUUUGUGGGCCCCGUUUUUAAUUUUUUUUAUUAUGUCGAGUGGGCCGUCCUUUGGUUUGGCUUGGGCCUUUUAAUUUUUUUUUCUUAUGUCGAGUGGGCCGUCCUUUGGUUUGGCUUGGGCCUUUUUGAUAUUUCGAGAUAUUUGGUUUGUCUCGUCUUUGGGCUCCGUCGUGUUAGAAAAUUGUUCAAACUAGGGUUUCCUUUCAUCCUCGAGACUGUUCUUCGACUGAGGGCUGUUCCUAUUCGGACAAAAACAUUUUCGUUACUUGAUCUCUUCAACUCCUCCAUACACCUUCUCGAAAAUGACUUCAUCCGCUACUCCAGUUGCCAAAGCCGUCGUCUGCCACUCAACUCUCUAUUAUCUCCGUCUUGGUCGUAUUGCUCAGUUCGUGGUUGCUCGCCUCCUCCUUGAUGAACGAAUGUUGUGAUCCACGGCUUCAUCUCCGCUGGUCGUAGAUAUCAUGAAGGUUCAGUUCAUCAAUGUGCGGAUCUGCAUUUAUUGCGUUUUUGAGAUAACUGGGGCACACCACAUAGGUUGAAGGGAAAAUGGAGCGUGUAAGCACAUCGCUCAAAUCCGAGAAGGAAGAUCUGGUUGCAGGACUCAGCAAGGAGAAGAUAUAAACUCUGAAGGAGUUAACAGAGACUGAUACGAGAAACACUGAGUUAUACAAGGUGAAUAAAUAAUACUGUUGCCUUUCAAUUUGGUUCUAAUUCAGUCUAUCAGUUUACCAUGUAAGCAUAGUGGACAUUUUAUUUUGGAAUAAAAUAUGGAGUGAAGUUGGAGAUGCUCUUAGACAUUAACCAACCGCAUAAACCUUAGUUUUAGAACAUGAAUGCGCUAAAAAUGGUAAUGGUCUCAGGCAAAAUCCCGUACACAAAACUACACAGCGCAUGAACAACAUAUCCGGCUCCGUGCUUGCGCGGGGGCUAUACCCCUAGUUAUUUUAUAAUAUUAUAUUUUAAUCUUAAUAUUAUAUACUUAUAAAUAUAUAUUGAUAAAUGUUGUAUAAAUACAUUAAUGUUAGAUGAUCUUGUUCCACGUUUUCAAGGAAAUUAAGUGUUUUCCUUAUCUCAACGAAUUGCAGUCAAAUUUAUUGCCUACAUGUUAACAGUCCCCCUUGUGAUGAUAAAGAUAAACUUGAAGUACGUAAAUUUUAUUACAAUUGAAGUAUGUAAAUUUUAAGUUUUAAUUUUUACAAGCAAAAUUUGUCUUAUGAUAUCAUAUACUGUUCUAAUUAAAAAACAAAUAAAAGUAUAUAAUCCAAAUUUUUAGACACAUGCAUACAUUGCCGACAAAAAAAACACAUUAAAAUAUUAAAUACUUUUUGUUGUACUAAAUAAAAAAGAAGAAUAUGAUAAUAUUUCCUCCGCUUCGUAUUAGUUAGGAAUGUCAAACAGGUUGAUCUGUUCCGUUUUGUCUCGUACCGCAGCGGGUUCGUCUUCAAGCGGGUCACGGCGGAUCAGGUCCGUGCGGACUGCAGUCCUCAAAAUGGCUGACUAAACCCGUACCGCAAAACAUGUAGGUCUUUGCGGAUCGGCCUGCAGGACAUAGAAUUACAAACGGACAUAUGGUUCCUGAACGCUUCAAUACAUGAUUCAUGAUGCUUUAUCAGUUUCAUGACGCAUCAAUAAGUGAGUUUAGUCGAGGAUUGAACUGAAUAAGGCAAUACACUUGUUAGUUGAAGAUUUUAGUUGGAUCAAAACACUAGUUUAUUUACUUUUGUUAGACUCCAAACAUUUUGAAAAAUAAACAAUACUUUAUUUGCUGAAUCUAAAUAUUAUAACUCAUAAGUUUAUAACAAAUGCUUUAAUUUUCUGAAUCCAAAAUUAAAUAAAACCAACACCAAAUCAAAGAUGCUAAUCCGAAAAAUAAAUAAAAAGAAAACACUAAUCACACUUCUUGUUCUUCAUCAUUAUCACCAACAAGCGAUAAAAACAUGGAAAUUUCUUUUCUUCACCAUCAACUUCAUCUUCUACAUAUAAGAAUAAUAGAAGUCAGUUAAAAAUAUAUUGAAACCUAAAACUCCAAAAUGUAUGAUAAUGUGAACAAAUACAUAUAGACAAAACUAUGAAAAACCCAUGGCGGAAACUAGAUCUUCUUCUUCAGUGGAAAGUGAGUUUUCAAACUUCUUAUGAUGACUUGAAGAAGCUCCACCGGUGCAGAUCGAAGGCUCUCUCUCUCUCUCUCUCUCUCUC